rnacentral:rRNA from 1 species
AACGAACGCUGGCGGCAUGCCUAACACAUGCAAGUCGAACGGGAUCCUGGCUUCGGCCAGGUGAGAGUGGCGGACGGGUGAGUAACGCGUGGGAACCUGCCCAUUGGUCUGGGAUAACUGCGGGAAACUGCAGCUAAUACCGGAUGUACCCGAGAGGGGAAAGAUUUAUCGCCGAUGGAGGGGCCCGCGUCAGAUUAGGUAGUUGGUGAGGUAACGGCUCACCAAGCCUACGAUCUGUAGCUGGUCUGAGAGGAUGAUCAGCCACACUGGGACUGAGAUACGGCCCAGACUCCUACGGGAGGCAGCAGUGGGGAAUAUUGGACAAUGGGGGCGAACCCUGAUCCAGCAAUGCCGCGUGAGUGAUGAAGGCCUAGGGUUGUAAAGCUCUUUUACCAGGGACGAUGAUGACGGUACCUGGAGAAUAAGCCCCGGCUAACUUCGUGCCAGCAGCCGCGGUAAU